AAAGGAGACUUCGGUCUCUGAGUAAAGUGGCGCACGGGUGCGUAACACGUAAGUAAUCUACCCCGAACUCUGGGAUAACUCUCCGAAAGGAGGGCUAAGACUGGAUAGGGUCCCUGAGGUGUAGGCUGCAGGGGGAAAACGGGCCUCUGUUUCAUGCUCGUGGUUUGGGAUGAGCUUGCGGCCCAUUAGCUAGUUGGUAGGGUAAUGGCCUACCAAGGCAACGAUGGGUAGCUGGUCUGAGAGGAUGAUCAGCCACACUGGCACUGAGACACGGGCCAGACUCCUACGGGAGGCAGCAGUGGGGAAUUUUGCGCAAUGGGCGAAAGCCUGACGCAGUAACGCCGCGUGGAGGAUGAAGGCCUUCGGGUUGUAAACUCCUGUCAGGGGGAACGACGGGGAAAGUGUGAUAAGCGCUUUCCUCCAGACGGUACCUCCAAAGGAAGCCCCGGCUAAUUCCGUGCCAGCAGCCGCGGUAAUACGGAAGGGGCAAGCGUUGUUCGGAAUCAUUGGGCGUAAAGGGCGCGUAGGUGGUCUUGUGUGUCUACCGUGAAAGCGUACGGCUCAACCGUAUUUAGUCGGUAGAAACUGCAGGACUUGAGGCUGGGAGGGGCUGGUGGAAUUCCCUGUGUAGCGGUGAAAUGCGUAGAGAUGGGGGAGAACACUCGUGGCGAAGGCGGCCAGCUAGACCAGUUCUGACACUGAGGCGCGAUAGCGUGGGGAGCAAACAGGAUUAGAUACCCUGGUAGUCCACGCUGUAAACGAUGGGCACUAGGUGCCGGCGGUCUUGAUCCCGUCGGUGCCGGCGCU
rnacentral:rRNA from 1 species